GUUUAAGAUUAUAACUUGAAAUGAUAAUGUUGAUACAUAAUCUUUUUCAUACUUAACAGUGAGAAUAAGUAGAAUUAAGGGACGUAAGUAUAAAUUUUGGC